rnacentral:rRNA from 1 species
CCUACGGGAGACAGCAGUGGGGAAUAUUGGGCAAUGGAGGAAACUCUGACCCAGCAAAGCCGCGUGAAUGAUGAAGGUCUUCGGAUUGUAAAGUUCUUUUCUACGGGAAGAAGAAAGUGACGGUACCUUAGGAAUAAGCCUCGGCUAACUACGUGCCACGAGCCGCGGUAAUACGUAGGAGGCGAGCGUUAUCCGGAAUGACUGGGGGUAAAGGGUUCGUGGGGGGGUUGGUAAGUUAGUAGCGUAACUCCAAGGCUCAACCACAGAACUGCCUUUGAAACUGUGAUCCUAGAGUAGGGGGGAGGUAGGUGGAAUUCGUGGUGUAGGGGUAAAAUCCGUAGAGAUCACGAAGAAUACUCAUUGCGAAGGCGACCUGCUAGAACAUAACUGACGCUGAUGCGCGAAAGCGUGGGGAGCAAACAGGAUUAGAUACCCUUGUAGUC